UGCGUUCGCUGCCAAGAAACGUCUGCCCACAGAAACUGGAAUUAAGUGGAUGCAUGUCGUUGAGAUCACUCCCUGACCAACGCUGCUCGGGGAGGCUUCAGGUUUUAGCAUUGGAUGCUUGUCCUGAUGAAACACUAGUGAGUAUGAUACCUGGCACCGGGAGUUUAUACUCCUUGGCGGUUUCAAACAUCUCAAAUUUCAUCUGCCUUCCAAAAUGGCCUAGUCUCCCAGGACUCAAAGCGCUGUACAUCAGUAAUUGUGGAGAUCUUGAGUAUCUAACCAACCAAGAAAACAGGACAUUGUUCAACGGCUUCACCUCUCUUCAACUUCUCUCCAUCCAGAAGUGUCCUAAGCUUGUGACACUGCCAGUUGAAGGGCUCCCAACCUCUCUUCAAGUUUUGAUCAUUAGCUCAUGCACGAGCCUCGAGUCAUUUGGGGCCCCUGACGUGCUCAAGAAUCUUACCUCCCUCCAUGAUCUUUACAUCGAAGAUUGCCAAGCACUCCAGUCAUUGCCAGGGGAUGGCCUGCCAACCUCCCUCCAGCAUCUGUCUAUCCAAAGCUGCCCUUCACUGAUAGCACAGUGUGAGAAGGAAGAUGGUGAUUUGCCAAAGAUUGAAGGCAUUGCUGAUAGGGAAAUUAAGCCAUCUACCAGAACAGCAACCUCAUCAUGAGCAGCUCGGUAUCGUCUUCCUGGGUGCUGCGCAAGUGGAGGGAAGUGAAGCUGGAUGGAAAACCUGCAUGAUAGUAAAAGAAUUACAGCCUCUUUUUUUUCCCUUUUAAUUUUCCUGGUGAUGGAUGUAUCUUGUUUUAGAGGGUUGUAAUUUUUUUUUUUUUUUCCAUCUUUCUUUAAUGUACGAUAAUAAGCAGCUUCCUACAUCUAUGUUGUAAGGAGAUUGCCUGUAAGUUUUUUUUCGUCUAUUUCUUUAAUGUGUAAGAAUAAGCAAACCUUCCUACCGGUGUUUAUGUUGGAAGGAGGAUUGCCUGUAAGAUUUUUAUUUUUCUCUUUCUUUAAUAUGCAAUAACAAGCAACCUUCUGACA